AAAAAAAAAAAAAAAAAAUGAAACUCAAACAGCUCACCAAACUUGCCAGAUGAAGGAAGUAAUUUCAUGUACCAAAGGCUUCUGUGAUGAUAUUAUCGGAAUAUGGUAAAAGCUUUCAUAGUGGGGCCGGCCCUAUUGGAGGAAGUUGGUCACUGCAGUGGAUGAAAGCAUCAGCUCUGGAUCAGCACUAUUAUAUUGCAUAUUGGCUACUGAUGGCUCUACUACCUGUCUAUUAUAAAGAUCUUACUGGAUUCUGCUUAAGCACAGAGCAUUGUCAGCAACUAUGGUGAAUGCAAAGAAAUAAGAAGAUCAGGAACUGCUCAGCUGGCCUCUGCUUCAGGAGCUAUUACAACUUGAAAACAGAACCUCCUCCUGUUUGGACACUGACUGAACUUGAGUCCUGCAGUGUGUCAAAUGAAGAACCAGAAGAGGUCAUCUUGA